GUAAUACCCUCUCCGUCCGGAAUUACUUGUCGCAGAAAUGGAUAAAAGCGGAUGUGUCUCGAAUUAAAAUACGUCUAGAUACAUUCAUUUCUUCGACAACUAUUUGCGGACGAAGGGAGUAUUUU
rfam:Hordeum vulgare subsp. vulgare, WGS project CAJW01000000 data, contig: morex_contig_183526